UUGAUUACCAUCUAUUGAUUUACAAGUCAAACCUAAGAGACAGCCCACAAAGGGUUUUUUCUCCUCUUAGAGCUGACUCCUCAUCACACUGUUCC
rnacentral:lncRNA from 1 species